rnacentral:piRNA from 1 species
UAAGCUCUUUAUAAAGUUUAGAUAUCAGCCU